CAAAUUCCUUAUACUCACUACAUUUUUGUGAAUUAUUAUAUGUGCUCUGGAAGCGAGCAUGACUUUUUUGUGAAUUAAACUGUACCUCAGGAUGUUAAACUUCUGUGAUUUCUCAUAGUACCACCCAUCAGAGUUCUGCCAAUAGCUUGAGAUUGCUGGUGUACGUAUUAGAUGACAAUCAUGGAGAAGCACUUUUCACAAAAAGAUAUAUUACCAUCCCACCAUACUUUAUUGUCUUGGAAAAGCUUCUUCCUUUCUUCAUACAAAGCACAGUCCACUGAUAUGAAGGGGACUGCCCGUUCGCAGCGUGGAUUUUAACCGAGGCACGGACAACAUCACCGUGAGGCAGGGGGACACGGCCAUCCUCAGACUUUACAGAGAACAAGAGUGCUCUGCAUCAGGGCACGUGCUGCGCUGCAUAUUUUUAGUCCACAAGGAAGGCCACAGCUAUGAGGAUAGACUUCCAGGAAUCCACGCAGAGGGAAAAACAGAGGGAGCAGAAAAUGUGAAAGGGCAGGAAGACGGGAUGGUGCAUGACUCCAAAGACAGCAUGUACGCCAGCUCCAGCGUGGCUCUGUGUGCGUUUUUUUCCCUGCUCCUUUUCCCAUUCCCUCCCCCUCAGAUAGACAAAACACUGAAACCACCAGGAUCCCAGGUUAUGCCUUCAAUCACCAA
rnacentral:lncRNA from 1 species